GGGACAUGAUCUGUGCCAUUGUCACAUGUUCAAGUUUAAUUGUGCUAAUUGUCUUUACUCUCAUUUUCAGGAUGUUAAAUGUGGAAAUGGAAAGAAUGCAGUCUAGAACUAGCUAGCAGGUGAAUGCAGAUUUCUUGCAGAUCACCACCAAGCUGCUGCAAUCAAAGCUCCUGUCACAGAUGCACCACUUCUCAGACAAGCUGAUUCAGAUCUUCCAGAGCAAAGGAGGAGUUAAAGGGCAAAAGAUCAAGUGCAUCCUGCCGAUGACAGACUCUGUUUGUAUAAAUGCAUCAAACAAACUUUCACUGUAUUGUGGUGAAAUGUUGACCACACUAAAUGUGCAGCGGAUAACAGAAAAAUCAUUAAAAUCUUGAUAAAUUUGCUAAAUUUACAAUAAUUGAUGUUUAUGGCAUACUUCACAAUUGUGAUGGAUUAACCACUCAAAAUUCCAAGAUGGCUGUCUUUUUUCUUGAUGGCAUACUUUGCAAAUCAAUCAGCAAUCACUCUUUGUGAUCAGUAUUUAUCAGGUCAGGAACGUGUCAUUUCAUUGCUUAGUUUUGAUGCAGAUGAAGUUUCCAAAAAUAGGAUCCAUUUCAGCGCGCACACACACACACACACACACACACACACACACACACACACACACACACACACACACACACACACACACACACACACACACACACACACACACACACACACACACACACACACACACACACACACACACACACAGAAUGUGUGCUAUCCUCACCUAGUUUGGCCUCUGAGCCAACAGGGUUUGCCGGGGUGUGGUACACAUCGGUGUGAGUUGGGAGUGUGAUGAGGACCAGUGCCAGAAAUCCAUUAGAACAAUGUCACUUGCUGUUGAAACCAAAGUACUACUACUACACCCCAUGCAUGAUUAAAAAAUAAAUAUCAAAGCACACAAAAACUACUAAAAUAUGACAAAUCUACACUACAAAAUAAACAAAUUGGAGUAAAACCUGACAAGCAUUCACUGUGGAUAACAGGAAAGAAACACAGGAUAGAAUAUUAAACUUGUACAAGCAUGUUACUACUUUAUGUAUAUCCUAUUUUUUCUUGAAAGGCCAACAGUUUCUUUACACAGGCCAUCACACUGAUGAACAAUUUAACCUGCCAAAAAAAAAAAAAAAAAACCCUCAC